CAGAACACUGGGUUGAUAGGCCGGACGUGGAAGCAAGGACUAAAGACUUGUGAAGCCGACCGGUACUAAUAGGCCGAUAACUUACACA
rnacentral:rRNA from 1 species